UACUCGCACGACAAACAAAGGCGCGGUGAAAGAUAACGCCUUAUCUGCCUUCCACAUAAGCAGGUUUCCCAUAAGCGUCCCUCCAGACCCCGCCAGGUGAUCGAUGGAGCUCCAUCUCUUCACGUGAACAUCACUGAAACUCAAGAGUGAGGAGGGACAUUGGUCUGACCUUGGAAAACCCAUGACGACGAACCAGGAAACCAUCAGUGCAGGGUCCAAAGACUGACACGUGAUCC